UGGUUUUCAGGACUGUACUUCCAGUGGUGCUGUUGUGGGGUACUAUCAUCUUUUUUAGCCCCACCAGCCACUGAAUCUGCACCCACUGGGACUCCUGCCACUGUCAUGACCAAAGUUCAGCGCAAAACGUCUGUAACCACAGACCUCAGUGGCCACAUCCUCCCAAACAAUGGGACAGCUGCAAGAAAUUGUGCACCAGGCAUCUCAGGGGACAACACAGGCAGAUUCUGUGGCUAUAAGUCAACCAUCUUCAGGACAUA